rnacentral:lncRNA from 1 species
GUGCUGUUUCCUCCAGUCAGGAUGGGAUCUCUACAGCAGAGGUCGAGCUGAGAGUCAGACCAGGAGACAACAUCACUCUCUACUGUGACUGUAACAUAACUACUGAAGUAUACAUUAUGUGGUAUAGGAACUGUUCUCACAAGUACCAGCCUCCUCUAGUUAUUUCAACUAAGUGUUUAAGUUCCAUCUCUCUCCCUGGAUAUGUGGUGUGAACCCCCUCUAACAACUCCUAUGAUCUACUGAUUGAGAACAUCACUGAAUCUGACUUGGGACUCUACUAAUGUGGGACUAUGGAGAACAAGGUAGUGGAUGAUGGAGGUAAAGGAGGUAUCAAAGUGAAAGAGUUGUACCACUAUGGAAACAUCACCACUAGGAUUUCACUUGAAACCAGUCCUCCCGAGCACUCCUCUUCCCCUCCACCUCCUGAAGACUGUGAUGAUGCCAGAACACCUGAUGUCGACUGUGGGCUGUGUUGGAUGUUGCUGUUCAGUCUGUGUCCUGUGUCUGCUCUCCUCUCCUCCCUCCUCUCCUCCACUUGCGUCUACUCCUUCUACAAACAACAGCUCCAGCUGAGACUCCACCAGGGGAAGUGACAGCAGAGAGCAGACUACAGUCAAAAUGGGUGUUGUAGUUUUAUUAUGGGUAGCCAUCUUGAUUUGUAGUCCAUGUAUUAGUCUUGGCCUAUUUCUCUGUCUGUCUGUCUCUCUCUCUCACUCUCUCUAUCUGUCUCUCAGGAAGAAGGACCUGUUUUAUGGAUUGUUGGAUAUCCGUCAGGAACAGAGGAGACCAAAGAAGAAGAAGAGAGUCCAGAACGCUGACUUCAGUACCUACUCAGCCAUCAAUACCAGCAGAGUGUGAGACCUAUACCAGUCAUCAAUACCAGCAGAGUGCGACCUAUACCAUCCAUCAAUACCAGCAGAGUGUGAGACCUAUACCAGCCAUCAAUACCAGCAGAGUGUGACCUAUACCAGCCAUUAAUACCAGCAGAGUGUGAGACCUAUACCAGCCAUCAAUACCAGCAGAGUGAGACCUAUACCAGCCAUCAAUACCAGCAGAGUGUUAGACCUAUACCAGCCGUCAAUACCAGCAGAGUGUUAGACCUAUACCAUCCAUCAAUACCAGCAGAGUGAGACCUAUACCAGCCAUCAAUACCAGCAGAGUGUGAGACCUAUACCAUCCAUCAAUACCAGCAGAGGGAGACCUAUACCAGUCAUCAAUACCAGCAGAGUGUUACCUGUACCAGCCGUCAAUACCAGCAGAGUGUGAGACCUAUACCAUCCAUCAAUACCAGCAGAGAAUGAAACUUACACCAUCUGUCAAUACCAGCAGAGUGAGACCUAUACCAGCCAUCAAUACCAGCAGAGUGUUAGACCUAUACCAGCCGUCAAUACCAGCAGAGUGUGAGACCUAUACCAUCCAUCAAUACCAGCAGAGAAGAAGACUUACGCCAUCUGUCAAUACCAGCAGAGUGAGACCUAUACCAGUCAUCAAUACCAGCAGAGUGAGACCUAUACCAGCCAUCAAUACCAGCAGAGUGUGAGACCUAUACCAACAUUGCUGGGAGGACGAGGUGUAACAACAAGCACGAGGUCGUCGUAUUUUGUUUGACAAAUGCUUCAGCAAACCAAUCAGAGCUAUCUGGGGGUGUGAAUUAGAUGUGAAGGGGUGUGACUUACAGAAACCAGUCCUCCCGAGCACUCCUCUCCCCCUACCUCCUGAAGACUGUGAUGAUGCCAGAACACCUGUUGUUGACUGUGGGCUGUGUUGGAUGUUGCUGUUCAGUCUGUGUCCUGUGUCUGCUCUCCUCCCUCCUCUCCUCCACUUGCGUCUACUCCUUCUACAAACAACAGCUCCAGCUGAGACUCCACCAGGGGAAGUGACAGCAGAGAGCAGACUACAGUCAAAAUGGGUGUUGUAGUUUUAUUAUGGGUAGCCAUCUUGAUUUGUAGUCCAUGUAUUAGUCUUGGCCUAUUUCUCUGUCUGUCUGUCUCUCUCUCUAUCUGUCUCUCAGGAAGAAGGACCUGUUUUAUGCAUUGUUGGAUAUCCGUCAGGAACAGAGGAGACCAAAGAAGAAGAAGAGAGUCCAGAACUCUGACUUCAGUACCUACUCAGCCAUCAAUACCAGCAGAGUGUGAGACCUAUACCAGCCAUCAAUACCAUCAGAGUGUGAGACCUAUACCAUCCAUCAAUACCAGCAGAGUGAGACCUAUACCAGCCAUCAAUACCAGCAGAGUGAGACCUAUACCAGUCAUCAAUACCAGCAGAGUGUGACCUAUACCAUCCAUCAAUACCAGCAGAG